rnacentral:lncRNA from 1 species
GUGACCACUUGAAAAAAAAGUUCAAAUUUUUUGUAAUGUUGAAUUCUCUCUUAUUAUAAGUAAUAGGAUAACUAUAUUUGAUAUGUGCGUACCUUGCAAGGUCCUUAUGUCUGUCAGACAGUUUUCACUUGACCUCGACCUCAUUUCAUGGAUCAGUGAACAAGGUUAAGUUUUGGUGGUCAAGUCCAUAUCUCAAAUACUAUAAGCAAUAGGG